GGUCUCCGCGCUCAACCGGUAGAGCGCGUGCCUGAAAAACACGAGGUUCCUAGUUCAAGUCCGGGGUGAGCACGA
rnacentral:tRNA from 1 species